GCUGGGUGUAGUGGCGCAUGCCUGUAAUCCCAGGGGCUUGGGAGGCUGAGGCAGGAGGAUCGCGAGUUCAAAGCCAGCCUCAGCAGAAGUGAGGUGCUAAGCAACUCAGUGAUACCCUGUCUCUA
rnacentral:sRNA from 1 species